rnacentral:rRNA from 1 species
GAGUUUGAUCAUGGCUCAGAGCGAACGCUGGCGGCGUACUUAACACAUGCAAGUCGAACGAGGAGCGCUGGUGUAGCAAUACAUCGGCGCUUCUAGUGGCGCACGGGUGAGUAACACGUGGGCAACCUGCCCUUGAGUCCGGGAUACCCUCUCGAAAGGGAGGCUAAUACCAGAUACGUUCCUCGGAUCGCGAGGUCUGGGGAGGAAAGGUGGCGAAAGCUACCGCUCUUGGAGGGGCUCGCGGCCUAUCAGCUAGUUGGUGAGGUAACGGCUCACCAAGGCUAUGACGGGUAGCUGGUCUGAGAGGACGACCAGCCACACGGGAACUGAGACACGGUCCCGACUCCUACGGGAGGCAGCAGUGGGGAAUUUUCCGCAAUGGGCGAAAGCCUGACGGAGUGACGCCGCGUGGGGGACGAAGGCCUUCGGGUCGUAAACCCCUGUCAGAGGGAAAGAAGGGUCGCCGACCUAACACGUCGGUGAUCUGACGGUACCUUCAGAGGAAGCCCCGGCCAACUCUGUGCCAGCAGCCGCGGUAAGACAGAGGGGGCAAGCGUUGCUCGGAAUCACUGGGCGUAAAGGGCGCGUAGGCGGGAUGGCAAGUCAGUCGUGAAAUCCUUCGGCCCAACCGAAGAACGUCGGCUGAUACUGC